rnacentral:rRNA from 1 species
CGUACACUCCUACGGGAGGCAGCAGUGAGGAAUAUUGGACAAUGGGUGGAAGCCUGAUCCAGCCAUCCCGCGUGCAGGAAGACGGCCCUAUGGGUUGUAAACUGCUUUUAUCUGGGGAUAAACCUACUUACGUGUAAGUAGCUGAAGGUACCAGAAGAAUAAGCACCGGCUAACUCCGUGCCAGCCGCCGCGGUAAUACGGAGGGUGCAAGCGUUAUCCGGAUUUAUUGGGUUUAAAGGGUCCGUAGGCGGACUGAUAAGUCAGUGGUGAAAUCCGACAGCUUAACUGUCGAACUGCCAUUGAUACUGUUAGUCUUGAGUAAGGUUGAAGUGGCUGGAAUAAGUAGUGUAGCGGUGAAAUGCAUAGAUAUUACUUAGAACACCAAUUGCGAAGGCAGGUCACUAAGUCUUAACUGACGCUGAUGGACGAAAGCGUGGGGAGCGAACAGGAUUAGAUACCCCGGUAGUCC